AUGGAUUUGCACCAGCUAUUCAAGUACAGAUUGACUGGUGCUAACGUCUUCUGCGAAAUUCCCACAGAGAACAAUUUAGCGAACUCUUCCUGGCAAACUAGUCCACUGAAGUUAGAGUUCAGCAACUCUCCAUACACCCCUCUUUCUACCCAGCUUGAGUGUGACAAUUUGUCUGCUCUUAGCAACACUCCAGACAACCAGAGCUCUACUGAAACCAUUUCAGCCCAAUCAAUCUCCCCGCUUGAAGCAGACAGCUCAUACAUAAAGGCAGGUAGCAUUCGUGAGAACAUCCAAGUGAGACCUGAUCCAUUGUAUGCAACAUCAAGACAUAAUAUGCAACAGACUUUGCGUGACAUUGAGAACGUUCUGAUGGCACCUGAUGCUGAUGAUGCAACAACGAGCACAAAGCAUGAGUUUGAGGACACCAAGCCUGCUCAGCUCAUGCGGCAGCGGUCGAGGACAUGGAGCCAUGAGUCACGACAGCCGUUGCCUGGAGUUGUUCGGCCAUACUUUGCAUCUGGUGGAUACCCCACGGCAAGCUAUGAGUUCCGCCCAGAGAAACGACAAAGGGAGUUAAGGGAUGAUCGACAACAGAUUGUGAAGGGUCUAUUAACCAAGUGUGCUGAGGCAUUAAGUGAGGACAGGACAGAGGAGUUCCUAAAGCUUGUUCAGGAGGCUCGUGGGACUGUUUCAAUUAACGGGGAACCGAUCCAGCGUCUAGGUGCUUACCUACUCGAGGGUUUGGUUGCUAGGCAUGGGAACUCUGGUACAAACAUCUACCGUGCUCUGAAAUGCCGGGAGCCGGAGAGCAAGGAGCUUCUCUCCUACAUGAAGAUUUUAUACAAUAUCUGUCCUUACUUCAAGUUUGGAUACAUGGCAGCUAAUGGGGCGAUUGCAGAGGCAUUGAGAAGCGAGGACAACAUCCACAUAAUUGAUUUUCAGAUUGCUCAAGGGACUCAAUGGAUCACACUGAUACAAGCUCUAGCUGCAAGGCCUGGGGGUCCACCUCAUGUGCGGAUCACUGGAAUAGAUGACCCGGUGUCAGAGUAUGCCCGAGGUGAAGGCCUGGAGAUAGUUGGAAACAUGCUGACAAGCAUGUCUAAUGAGUUCAAUAUACCUUUGGAGUUUACACCUCUAUCUGUCUAUGCUACCCAAGUCACAGAGGAAAUGCUUAAGAUCAGACCAGGUGAAGCAGUUGCUGUCAACUUCACCCUCCAGCUGCACCAUACCCCAGACGAGAGCGUGGACGUCAACAACCCACGGGACGGGUUGCUCCGGAUGGUGAAAGGGCUGUCCCCGAAGGUGACCACGUUGGUGGAACAGGAGUCGCACACCAACACGACGCCUUUCUUGAUGAGGUUUUUGGAGACCAUGGAUUACUACUCCGCCAUGUUCGAGUCUAUCGACGCCAACUUGCCUCGAGACAGCAAAGAGAGGAUAAGUGUGGAGCAACACUGCCUGGCCAAGGACAUUGUGAACAUAAUCGCCUGCGAGGGGAAGGACAGAGUGGAGAGGCAUGAGCUGCUUGGCAAGUGGAAAUCAAGGCUGAGCAUGGCGGGCUUCAAGCCUUACCCGCUGAGCUCGUAUGUGAACUCGGUGAUCAAGAAGCUCCUCGCGUGCUACUCGGACAAGUACACGCUGGAGGAGAAGGAUGGGGCAAUGCUCUUGGGCUGGAACACCAGGAAGUUGAUAUCUGCCUCUGCGUGGCACUGA
rnacentral:rRNA from 1 species